rnacentral:rRNA from 1 species
GAUGAACGCUGGCGGCGUGCCUAAUACAUGCAAGUCGAGCGAACGGACGAGAAGCUUGCUUCUCUGAUGUUAGCGGCGGACGGGUGAGUAACACGUGGAUAACCUACCUAUAAGACUGGGAUAACUUCGGGAAACCGGAGCUAAUACCGGAUGAUAUUUUGAACCGCAUGGUUCAAAAGUGAAAGACGGUCUUGCUGUCACUUAUAGAUGGAUCCGCGCUGCAUUAGCUAGUUGGUAAGGUAACGGCUUACCAAGGCAACGAUGCAUAGCCGACCUGAGAGGGUGAUGGGCCACACGAGAAGAGAGACAGGCCCCAUACCCCUGCGGGAGGACGAGGGGGGGAAUCUUCCGGAAGGGGGGAAGGCCGAACGGAGCACCCCGGCGGGAAUUAUGAAGGUCUGCGGAUCGUAAAAUUCUGUUAUUGGGAAAAAACAUAUGUGAAAUAAGCUGUGCACAUCUUGACGGUACCUAAGCAAAAAGCCCCGGCUAACUACGUG